ACCAAAUGAGCGAGCAUUCAUUCAUAACUUGGCUCACCGUUCUGCUCCGCUCUUGCUCAUUCUCGCUCGUUCUCGCACCCAUCGAAGAGUUCAUAAAUCCUGGAAUUAGUCAAUUAUCUUUCGUGACAAAAAUUGGCUCGCUUCAUUGGUGAUUCUGAGAAAUGCCUUCCACCCAUCUCGAAUGUAACUGAGCUAUCGCUUCCACAACAAUUUAUGACCUGAAAGUGUUGGUGCUCUGGAUUAUUUCAAGGUCCGUCGUUCCAGCACCUUCCCAAAUUCCAAUCCUUUAGACCUCCAACGUGCAUGUCUUCUUGUUCACUCCGUUGUCAAGAGUCGCUUGAUCAUUGCACUUGACCACAGGAGCACCCAAGCGAACCCAAAGCAGGUGUCCACCACUCCCCUGGGCGAGUCAAUUGCCAACCACUCACCAUAACGCCACCAGCCCAUUCGACUAGCUGUCUGAGCCAACCAUCAUCCAUCUUAUGGCAUGCAAUACUUGCUCGCUUGCUUGCUUGCUUCCUUGCAAGUCCGUUGUCGGCUAUUGCACUUGUGCAUCGCCUUUCUUGGCUUACAAUACGAGGAAAGGUUCUCUCUGAGACCACAGUAGACGAGACCCCCUUCCUCAUGCCCGACCUAGUCCACCAACCAUCAUUCAAGCAACCCUUCCCGGCUUCCUUCACCGGGUUCUUCGCCCAAGAGAGACCACGGGGUGUUUUCUGUUCACUUUUCACUCUUGGCUUCCUUUUCAUGUUCAGAGGCUGAAUAUGCACUGUAUAUAGGGCAUUGUGCUCUAGAGGGAGUGACGGAGAGAAGCACCAUUACCUCCAUUCUUACGCCCAAUUCGUAGUGCAUUGAACAAAUGGAGGAGAAAAGAGUCACUUCCUCGCGUCGUUCCAAGAAAGGGCGAACCCCGAGUCUUGUAUGAAAUAGUAAAUGUUGUUCGUGUUCCCUGACGACCGAAACCAGAGCUGUGUGCAAUCAUCUGAGCCAGAGCGGGAACAUGUACCAAUAGUGGAGUGUUGUUUUAUGUAAUGGCUGCAUCGUGAUGACUAAACCCACAUCAGAUGAACAAGGUCCUAAAUUUAUCUUCCCCACCUCCAGGCAUCUUUAAUCCGGUCGUGGUUUGAGCAAUGCUCGCGGAGACAAAAAGCUGAAGAUCGUGCAUUGGCAAGCUGAGAGCCGAAAAGCCAGUUUGCCCACGAUGGAUUGACGUAUCACUGAUUCGUUUUGUCCAACUCGGGUUCGGAUCGGCUUAGGGAUCGCCCCCAGAUUAGACGCGUACUGAGCAAAAUGGGAGUGUGUACCCCUAAAGAAUAGUGGUAACAUCAUGGUCGAUAUCGAUAUGGUUCUCCGGGUGUCCAUCUUCUUUUACGAUCGGCCCCACCAACGCAGCGCUGUUACCUGUGGAAAUCCCACUCAAGCUGAAGGCUCAAGAUGGGACUCUAUUUAGAGAUUCGUAGAUGGCUCAAAAACAACCCAGACAAUAGCUCAGCACGCCAAAUGUUCGCUUGUAAUUCGAUCUAUCAUUCGUUGUGAUGAAAUCACUAAAAGAGGCACAUCUAGGACCUCAACAAGCAUGCUUCCAGUGUUGCCUCAGCGUUGAUAUUAACCUUAGAGGUCCUCUAUGAUUUCACGACUCAACCUAGUAGUUUGACAUGGCUCCAAAUGUCAAUUUCGAAUGGACAAGACCGCAUUUUGGUGUGCGUGGGCAAUGAUGCCUAAGGACAGAUUUUGGUCCGAGCCACCGAGUAUUCAAAGACAAAGAUGCGUCUUUUGUGUAGGACAAUGGGGUCUAGAUUGGAAAUGUUGUUGAAUAAGUGAAUUGUUAUGAUGGUUUUGGGCACAUGGGUUACGCUGUCCUCACCCCCGCCUUUUGUCACUGUACUUACGCACUUGCGAUUUUGUGGUACAUCGAUUUGUUACCCUCGGUAGUCCCUGCUCCUCCAUCAUUGCCAAUGUUAAAGUUGUGCCACCACCAUCAUUAUCAUCUCGAUCCUGCUUCCACUCCGAGAAAACAAUUGGAAAAAUUGCUCGGCAAGCACUUUACGAGGGAGGGCACGUCAGGGAUUGUACAACUGUCAAAGCUCUGAUUUUACCGAAGGUACUUCAUUUUGAGGACAAUAAUGCUAAGCAACAUCAAGAUGGGGCAAAGGAAUUUGAAAGAAUGUGGCGCCCAGGACCCUCUCUGGAACAUUGGGCUACUCGUCCACCACCUACGAACCGUUGCGAGUCGAUCUAUUGAUAUAAUGUUGGGGGAGGCUGCUGGAACUUGUUCAGAUCCUAAAUGGAUGACGUUAACAUGGAUGGAAGUUAAAUGUUCGAGCAGCUGACAACAUGGAUACUACUACUACGAACAAUUCCAGCCCAUACCAUUUUGUUGACGUUCUCUACCAUCAGUGAGGGAUCCUCCUAUUCAAGGACAAGUGGAGUUGAUCAUCAUAAAUAUUCUUUGGGCCGCUUUCAUGCAAAGCCAGCGUCGAACGUACACCAU